CAGGCUUAACACAUGCAAGUCGAGGGGCAGCAUGGUCUUAGCUUGCUAAGGCCGAUGGCGACCGGCGCACGGGUGAGUAACGCGUAUCCAACCUGCCUUACACUCUUGGACAGCCUUCUGAAAGGGAGAUUAAUACAAGAUGUUAUCAUGAGUAAGCAUUUUCGCAUGAUUAAAGGUUUACCGGUGUAAGAUGGGGAUGCGUUCCAUUAGAUAGUAGGCGGGGUAACGGCCCACCUAGUCUUCGAUGGAUAGGGGUUCUGAGAGGAAGGUCCCCCACAUUGGAACUGAGACACGGUCCAAACUCCUACGGGAGGCAGCAGUGAGGAAUAUUGGUCAAUGGACGAGAGUCUGAACCAGCCAAGUAGCGUGAAGGAUGAAGGUUCUAUGGAUUGUAAACUUCUUUUAUACGGGAAUAAACGAAUCCACGUGUGGAUUUUUGCAUGUACCGUAUGAAUAAGGAUCGGCUAACUCCGUGCCAGCAGCCGCGGUAAUACGGAGGAUCCGAGCGUUAUCCGGAUUUAUUGGGUUUAAAGGGAGCGUAGAUGGGUUGUUAAGUCAGUUGUGAAAGUUUGCGGCUCAACCGUAAAAUUGCAAUUGAUACUGGCAGUCUUGAGUACAGUUGAGGUAGGCGGAAUUCGUGGUGUAGCGGUGAAAUGCUUAGAUAUCACGAAGAACUCCGAUUGCGAAGGCAGCUUACUAACCUGUAACUGACAUUGAUGCUCGAAAGUGUGGGUAUCAAACAGGAUUAGAUACCCUGGUAGUCCACACGGUAAACGAUGAAUACUCGCUGUAGGCGAUAUACAGUCUGCGGCCAAGCGAAAGCAUUAAGUAUUCCACCUGGGGAGUACGCCGGCAACGGUGAAACUCAAAGGAAUUGACGGGGGCCCGCACAAGCGGAGGAACAUGUGGUUUAAUUCGAUGAUACGCGAGGAACCUUACCCGGGCUUAAAUUGCAACCGAAUAUGGCGGAAACGCUAUAGCUAGCAAUAGCGGUUGUGAAGGUGCUGCAUGGUUGUCGUCAGCUCGUGCCGUGAGGUGUCGGCUUAAGUGCCAUAACGAGCGCAACCCUUGCCGAUAGUUACUAACAGGUCAUGCUGAGGACUCUGUCGGGACUGCCAUCGUAAGAUGUGAGGAAGGUGGGGAUGACGUCAAAUCAGCACGGCCCUUACGUCCGGGGCUACACACGUGUUACAAUGGGGGGUACAGAGGGCUGCUACCACGCAAGUGGAUGCCAAUCCCAAAAACCUCUCUCAGUUCGGAUUGAAGUCUGCAACCCGACUUCAUGAAGCUGGAUUCGCUAGUAAUCGCGCAUCAGCCACGGCGCGGUGAAUACGUUCCCGGGCCUUGUACACACCGCCCGUCAAGCCAUGGGAGCCGGGGGUACCUGAAGUGCGUAACCGCAAGGAGCGCCCUAGGGUAAAACUGGUGA
rnacentral:rRNA from 1 species